rnacentral:rRNA from 1 species
UUUCCUACGGGGCGCAGCAGUGGGGAAUAUUGCACAAUGGGGGAAACCCUGAUGCAGCGACGCCGCGUGAGUGAAGAAGUAUUUCGGUAUGUAAAGCUCUAUCAGCAGGGAAGAAAAUGACGGUACCUGACUAAGGAGCCCCGGCUAACUACGUGCCAGCAGCCGCGGUAAUACGUAGGGGGCUAGCGUUAUCCGGAAUUACUGGGCGUAAAGGGUGCGUAGGUGGUUUCUUAAGUCAGAGGUGAAAGGCUACGGCUCAACCGUAGUAAGCCUUUGAAACUGGGGGACUUGAGUGCAGGAGAGGG